UGGGAGCGCAGCGGACUCCCGGAAAGCAGCGGCAGCGGCGGGAAGGGGCUCCAAGGAGCAAAGAAUGGCGGCGAGGCGCUGCCGGGAGCAGCAGAAGGCAGCGAGGAGAAGCCGUGAAGCUGCAGAGCGGCGGAGUUGUCUUUUCUCCUUGCCAGGCUUGAAUCUUCCUUCCGCCUUGCUGUGCUGUGGGGAGCAGCUGGAGGCGAUUCUCUUGCAUGAGCGAGGGGUGCAGCCUGGUUCCACCCGGCCCUGAGCUCACGGAAGGGCUGGCUGCCCGCAGGGAAGGAGCUCUGCUUGAGCUCUGCUCCUGGGUGGGCUUUUGUGUGCCCUGUUCCUCAGGAAGGGGUAAGCAGUGCUGGGGUUAUUUGCUAGAUGGAGUGCGUUUGUGUUUCUUGGCUUCCUGAAAGCUGUGUCUGUCUUUUUCACUGCCGGCUGGAGAGACUCGGGGGAGAAAGCGUUGUGCUUGAUGGCACGGUUUCCUUGGGCAAAGGAUGCUUUGGCAGCAGAGGUUUGCUGUCAGGAGGCAUGAAAGCACUGAAGCCAAUGCUGCCGUGCCCUGGGCCCAGAGACAUCAUCUCCCAGCACGUCCCUGGCGGUGGAUGUGUGCAAGCUCUGUGUCUGCCAGUGGUUGCUCCAAAGGCUUUGUGGUCAGCUGUGCGUGGCUGUUUUGCUCUUGAGGGCGUGGGAACAGAGGGCAACACGCUGAUGGGAGUGAUGGUGUCCUGCUCAGCAAUGGAUGUGCUGGGUGGCAGAAGAGGAUUCUUGGCCGAGCGUGGAAAAUCUCUCUGCUCCUUCCUGAAGGACGCAAUCUUCCACUUGGAAAGGGCCUCCAACGAUCCCUGGUAUCCUCUGAGAGCUCUGAGCUGCCACACCAAUUUGAAGCUGACUUCAUUUUUGGUCUUCCCCUUCAGCAGAAAAGCUCAGACAGCCGAGCCAAGCGAGACGCUGGAUUUCCUUUGGCAUCAAGGAAAGCAUCGUGAGAUGUUCUGAUGCCCUCUCACAAUUCUUUCUCCCUCCGCCAGCACCAGAGCUGGCGUCCAAAGACGCAAUGACACUGCCACAGGCAUUGUGGAGAUUUCUAUGGGAUAGGGCCAUGGUAAGGCUUUAUUGACAGAGGGAGGGACAAUGAAGAUUGGAUGUCAGGGAGAAGGUCUUUCCAGAGACGGUGGUGAGAUGCUGGAAGCGGAUGCCCAGAGAGCUUGUGGACGCCGCGUCCGUGGCAGUGUUGAAGGCCAGGUUGGAUUGGGCACUCGGCAGCCUAGUCUAGGAUUAGAUAUGAUGCAGAUGGGAUUCACGCAUCUGUUUUGCAGCCAGCUCGAGUGGAGGUCUUGGAGCUCAUGGGCGUCCCAUGCCCGCAUCAGCGUGGGUAGGGUGUGCCCUUCCUGCGCGGUGGGGCUUUGGUGUCCGGGGGCUGACGCUGAGGAGACUGUGUUUCUUCGUUUAUCGGUGGCAGAAAUCCAGCUCUGUCAGCAGAGGACUCCUGCGGCUGGCUGGCCUCAGCCUGAGAUGUUGAUGCUGCCAUCUCCUCAGAUUCUUUCUGCCUGCUCUUCUUAGCCCUGCGCCUGAGAAGUCUGACUGAGUCGCAUGCCAGAAGUGGCAGCCGGGAUGGAGUGCCUUGCGAUGCCUGUGACGGGCUGGACUGAGCCCUUGAGGAAGGUCUGGAAUCUUUGCUGAAAGAUUCCUUGGCUUUGGGCAACUUGAGCACUGCAGCCACACGAUGGGCUUUUUCCGCUUCCCGUUCUUCCUCACGGAAGCUCACGUGUUUGGUUCCUGGGUCUCGGCCCAGGUCUUCUUGGCUGUCUGUUUCUGCCUGGCCCUGCAGCUGGCAGGUCAGUGGCUGCUUUUGGUCUUCAGGCACUCCAGGGAUGGCUGGCAGCAGACUGAAAGGACAGAGCGGGAGGGGUCCGCCUGAGUGGGUGAUGGUUUUGGGGCUGCGUCCUGCAAGCCGGAGCCAGGACCCUUGGCUGCAACGCAGCCUUCCCCACAGACAGCUCAGCAGCUGCCCCGUGGCUCUCCCCCGUGGGAUCCAGAGAGGGGCCAGCCCUGUGAGCUGGGGGGCUCCUGGCGUCCCCAUCCCAGCACUGUUGGGCAGCCAGAAACAGGGACCCUUUGGGGCUAGGGAAUGGGCUCUCGUUGGCUCAGUCAAUCACCCCCAUGCACAUGCCAAGCCAGAGCCUCCAGCCUCACCUGGACGUAGAGCUCUCCUUGCGCAGUAAGCUCCUUAUCCUUCGGAGUUUUCCUCCAUCUAGACUGUCCGAGCUCAAGCGUUUGAUGUAGGUUGGCUUGCCAGCAAAUCUCACUGGGAUUGGGAAGGCAGAGGAGACUUACCGUCAACCCUUUGGCUCACUCACCAGGGGCGCUCAGGCCUGUUCCCAGAACAUGAGUGAGGGCCGCUCUGCUCCCCCCACUGCUGACAUCUGUGCCGCCUGCGGACCCUCCCUGAAACCAUCUCUGGCCCCACUCCUCCUCUCAGCCAUCUUGGGACUCUCUUUUGGGAGUGCAUUAGUGACGGUGGCUUUGGGAAAGCGGAGCUGGGUGGUGACGAUGAGCUGACAGGGUGACUUUUGGGGACCAUAUCCUUUUGUUGGGGGAGGGCGGGGCCUAAGGUGCCGAGGUGCUCCUGCCAUAGCCAGGGAUGGGGGCACGUCACAGCCAGCGCCUUGGUUUUGGAGAGGCCAACAAUUCCUCGUGGGAAGAGGCCGUGCUGAGCUGGCAUGAAGCUUUGACCUUCUCAAGGAAGUCGUAAUAGAAUUUCAUGUGGAAGGUCAGUCCAUCGAUGUGGAGCACUCCAAUGUCCUUGAAGACAACGGCAACGUUCUCCCCAUUCUUCAGGCAGCCAGAGAGCAGGGACACGGUGCUUUGGAUGCAAGCCUGCGCUGUCUGCCAGGUCACAGAGGCAGCUGCGGCCACCUCGCUGCUCUUGAGCGGCUCCAGCUUCCUAUGGGCUGAAAAAUGGGAGGGACGGAGUUGAUGAUACGGUUGGUUUUCCGCAGUGCUUCCCUGGAACUGCUUCUUGUGGCCAUCAGCCAGAACGGCCCCGUGUUUGGACGGGCUCCUCCGAGGGGGAGGUUUGCUUUGGAGAAUGGAGGCGGUGGCCCUGUUGGCCCUGUGCGUGAAGCCAGCAAAGCUUUAAUCCUCCCUCCUACCUGGCAGGGACUCCCUGCGGGGCUUGAGGUGGUGCACGGCUAUGAGGUUUCCAGACAAGUGAAAGACGGGCCACCGCAGAGUCACUGUCCCGUCCUCAGUCCUGAUGUCUCUGGAGAUGGUGUCAAAGGAUCCGAAGGUGGGAAUCCAGACCCCCUACAAGUGGUAGAGAAAGGAAGGGCGGCAGGGUUAUGGGCCAGCUGGCUGGAGGAAGAGCCCAUGUAGCGGUCCAAGGCAGGGACGGAGCUCAGGAGCCCUCUCCCGCUGUUCAGAGGCACGAGCCAGGGCAUCGGGAAUGGCUUUGGGAAGGGGCUGCACAGUCCUCUCCUUCCCCUCGCCCUCCCAAAUGCAGCACAGCAGUCAGGGCAGAAGCAGCC
ensembl:lncRNA